UACGUAGGGGGCAAGCGUUGUUCGGAUUUACUGGGCGUAAAGGGCGCGUAGGCGGCGCGUAAAGUCGGACAUGAAAUCAUUGGGCUUAACCCGAUGGCUGUGCCCGAUACUUGCGUGCUUAGAGUGCGGGAGAGGCAAUCGGAAUUCUCGGUGUGGCGGUGAAAUGCGUAGAUAUCGAGAGGAACUCCGGUGACGAAGGCGGGUUGCGGGACCGACAAUCACGUUGAGGCGCGAAAGCUAGGGGAGCAAACGGG
rnacentral:rRNA from 1 species